rnacentral:lncRNA from 1 species
CAGUCCCUCUGCCUAACUGUUCUGAACAGCAGUGACUUUGCACACGUCCCAGUGUGGAAGGACAAUGCCUGCAGAGGAAGACCGGCAGGUACUUUAAACCUGCCUUCCUCGGAGCGUCACUGGUUUAGACUGCCUGAGUUCCAGACAGAGUUGGUCCCAUUAGUCACAUUGCUGGAAAUACCAAUGACUGAACCAUGAAUGACCUGCUUCUCAAGCCAUACAUACAAUGUGAAUUCUGAUCCCCAAACUCCCAUGAAGAGAGGUUUAUGGAUUCUUAAGGAGAUCAUCUUUACAUUAACAAACUAUUUAAGAGGGCUGGAAAGAUGGCUCAGCAAUUAAAAGCACAGGCUGCCCUUCCAAAGGACCCAGGUUCAAAUCCUAGUACCCACAUGGCAGCUCACAACUGUCUAUAAUUCCAGUUCCAGGGGAACCAACCUUCACAUGGACAUACGUACAGACAGAACACCAAUAUAAAUAAAAAUUUAAAAAAGAAAUUAUUUAAAACAUUAUCCAGUACCAGGAGAAUGCCAUCAAAUGUGUACUUGGUUAUAUUCUUAGAAACAUAAGAUCUAGUGUGUGGCUCAACAAAAUAUUUCACUCACUGAUUUGUUUUGCUCUGUAUCAAAACAGUCUUUGAAAGGAAAAUGACAUUAUGGAUGAACAGAUAAUAUGUAAAGC